CAGCUCCUGGGUUAAUGAGAUUAAAUGCAUCCAGCGGAACAUCUCUAUUUGUCUGGAGUCUGCUUCUUGUUCAGGUGCUAUUUAAAUCCGCGUUUGAAGUUGCGAGGCCCUGCAAAUCCGCCUCGGUGUGGGCACCAUCUCUUAACUUUUGGUCCGAAGCGGGGUCGGAAUUUCCCCCUUGGGCUCAUUGAAGCCUUUCCCGGUGCAGAGCCGUAGCCGUGCCGGCAGCCACCUGCCAUCGGGCUGAUCCCCCAGGUCCUGGGGCACUGGUUGUGAUGCCGCCAGCAAUGCCGCCGGCAGCUCCCUGCGCUUGUUUGGCAGCUGAAUGGGAGGAGUGGGGAUUUUGAAAUAAGCCCAGCAGGGAAGAAAACCCCAUGAUCUAAAGCAAGCAAGCGAAAUCUCAUUUUCUCCUUGAGUUUCAGAGGGCCGAGCAGCGAACAAACAAUUAUUUCCCGGCGACUUUGCUGGGUAGAUCUAUAAUUCCUGAGUGACAGGGGACCGGCGCUCUAAAAGCGAGCUGCUGGCUGAUGGAUAACGGGGGCGACGGCGGGGACGAUGAUCUGCUGGCACAGAGCGCUCCCACCGCCUGCCGCACGGUAAAUCAGCGGCGGCGGGGAGAGACCUCCUCGGAUGCCUCCAUCCUUCGCUCCUGGGACCCGUCGCGGCUUGCUGAGCCUCGGAGGCGCAGGGCCGAGGUCUGGCAAGGCAGAAAAUAGCGAUGCUACGAAGCGACGCGUGGAAGGAGCAAGCGAUUCCAUGCUGCGUUUUCUCCCCCCUCGGCACCCAGAGUUUUAUGUACUGUAAAAUUCGUUGUGUUAUUGGAAAUGGCAUUUUGGCUGGGGUUUGUACAAGGGAGUGCUGCUAAAUAUAAAGAAAAGGCCAAGCGCACGGUGUUAGACAGUAAGUGGAAGGAGAAAUGCAUUAUGCAAACCACGAGGGAAAAGCAUCUGUUUCCCUCUCUCGCGCUCCCAGCACGACCUGCCGCUUAAAUGGAAAAAAGACACAGCUCUGAGAAGUACCUCUUCGUGUUGGGAAGAGAGAGAGACGCUUUAAGGGCUUAAAAUAGCCUGGAAUCGGCUCUUCGUGUUUCCUGGAGUCUGCUUCGCCUUCCAAACCUAAGCGAGAGUCAUCACCAUGAUGCAAAUAGGAGUUAAAACCCGCUGAAAGCCCUGGAUUGAAGUCGGCGUGUAUUUUACGGGCCUGCGACAGCUAAUGCAGGAGCCGUUCCCCCGAUAAGCAUUAUUUUGGAUCACAGUAAAAGCCGCAUCAGAUCAAGGCUUUUGGCAAGACUCAUUUUAUAGUGGUUAUUAAAGGCUGAAGCGAACUGCUUGGGGAUGGGCCCCAGGGUGCAUCAGUAAAUAGAGAAAGCAGAGGAUCAAAAAAAAUGAAACAUGUUUUGGGUCUCUGAAAACCAUCUUUAGAAAGAGCUUGGCAUUAUUAUUAUUUUCAGUCUAAUGUUGUUUUCUG